AAAUUGAAGAGUUUGAUCAUGGCUCAGAUUGAACGCUGGCGGCAGGCCUAACACAUGCAAGUCGAGCGGAAACGAGUUAACUGAACCUUCGGGGGACGUUAACGGCGUCGAGCGGCGGACGGGUGAGUAAUGCCUAGGAAAUUGCCCUGAUGUGGGGGAUAACCAUUGGAAACGAUGGCUAAUACCGCAUGAUGCCUACGGGCCAAAGAGGGGGACCUUCGGGCCUCUCGCGUCAGGAUAUGCCUAGGUGGGAUUAGCUAGUUGGUGAGGUAAGGGCUCACCAAGGCGACGAUCCCUAGCUGGUCUGAGAGGAUGAUCAGCCACACUGGAACUGAGACACGGUCCAGACUCCUACGGGAGGCAGCAGUGGGGAAUAUUGCACAAUGGGCGCAAGCCUGAUGCAGCCAUGCCGCGUGUGUGAAGAAGGCCUUCGGGUUGUAAAGCACUUUCAGUCGUGAGGAAGGUAGUGUAGUUAAUAGCUGCAUUAUUUGACGUUAGCGACAGAAGAAGCACCGGCUAACUCCGUGCCAGCAGCCGCGGUAAUACGGAGGGUGCGAGCGUUAAUCGGAAUUACUGGGCGUAAAGCGCAUGCAGGUGGUUUGUUAAGUCAGAUGUGAAAGCCCGGGGCUCAACCUCGGAAUAGCAUUUGAAACUGGCAGACUAGAGUACUGUAGAGGGGGGUAGAAUUUCAGGUGUAGCGGUGAAAUGCGUAGAGAUCUGAAGGAAUACCGGUGGCGAAGGCGGCCCCCUGGACAGAUACUGACACUCAGAUGCGAAAGCGUGGGGAGCAAACAGGAUUAGAUACCCUGGUAGUCCACGCCGUAAACGAUGUCUACUUGGAGGUUGUGGCCUUGAGCCGUGGCUUUCGGAGCUAACGCGUUAAGUAGACCGCCUGGGGAGUACGGUCGCAAGAUUAAAACUCAAAUGAAUUGACGGGGGCCCGCACAAGCGGUGGAGCAUGUGGUUUAAUUCGAUGCAACGCGAAGAACCUUACCUACUCUUGACAUCCAGAGAACUUU
rnacentral:rRNA from 1 species